rnacentral:tRNA from 1 species
GCGGGAUUAGCUCAGUUGGUAGAGCGCAACCUUGCCAAGGUUGAGGUCGCGAGUUCGAGCCUCGUUUCCCGCUCCA